rnacentral:rRNA from 1 species
AGUGAACGCUGGCGGUAGGCCUAACACAUGCAAGUCGAACGGCAGCACAGUAAGAGCUUGCUCUUACGGGUGGCGAGUGGCGGACGGGUGAGGAAUACAUCGGAAUCUACUUUUUCGUGGGGGAUAACGUAGGGAAACUUACGCUAAUACCGCAUACGACCUACGGGUGAAAGCAGGGGAUCUUCGGACCUUGCGCGAUUGAAUGAGCCGAUGUCGGAUUAGCUAGUUGGCGGGGUAAAGGCCCACCAAGGCGACGAUCCGUAGCUGGUCUGAGAGGAUGAUCAGCCACACUGGAACUGAGAAACGGUCCAGACUCCUACGGGAGGAAGAAGUGGGGAAUAUUGGACAAUGGGCGCAAGCCUGAUCCAGCCAUACCGCGUGGGUGAAGAAGGCCUUCGGGUUGUAAAGCCCUUUUGUUGGGAAAGAAAAGCAGCAGGUUAAUACCCCGCUGUUCUGACGGUACCCAAAGAAUAAGCACCGGCUAACUUCGU